rnacentral:rRNA from 1 species
AUUAGUGGCGAACGGGUGAGUAACACGUGAGUAACCUGCCCUUAACUCUGGGAUAAGCCUGGGAAACUGGGUCUAAUACCGGAUAUGACUCCUCAUCGCAUGGUGGGGGGUGGAAAGCUUUUUGUGGUUUUGGAUGGACUCGCGGCCUAUCAGCUUGUUGGUGAGGUAAUGGCUCACCAAGGCGACGACGGGUAGCCGGCCUGAGAGGGUGACCGGCCACACUGGGACUGAGACACGGCCCAGACUCCUACGGGAGGCAGCAGUGGGGAAUAUUGCACAAUGGGCGAAAGCCUGAUGCAGCGACGCCGCGUGAGGGAUGACGGCCUUCGGGUUGUAAACCUCUUUCAGUAGGGAAGAAGCGAAAGUGACGGUACCUGCAGAAGAAGCGCCGGCUAACUACGUGCCAGCAGCCGCGGUAAUACGUAGGGCGCAAGCGUUAUCCGGAAUUAUUGGGCGUAAAGAGCUCGUAGGCGGUUUGUCGCGUCUGCUGUGAAAGACCGGGGCUCAACUCCGGUUCUGCAGUGGGUACGGGCAGACUAGAGUGAUGUAGGGGAGACUGGAAUUCCUGGUGUAGCGGUGAAAUGCGCAGAUAUCAGGAGGAACACCGAUGGCGAAGGCAGGUCUCUGGGCAUUAACUGACGCUGAGGAGCGAAAGCAUGGGGAGCGAACAGGAUUAGAUACCCUGGUAGUCCAUGCCGUAAACGUUGGGCACUAGGUGUGGGGGACAUUCCACGUUUUCCGCGCCGUAGCUAACGCAUUAAGUGCCCCGCCUGGGGAGUACGGCCGCAAGGCUAAAACUCAAAGGAAUUGACGGGGGCCCGCACAAGCGGCGGAGCAUGCGGAUUAAUUCGAUGCAACGCGAAGAACCUUACCAAGGCUUGACAUGGACCGGAUCGCCGCAGAAAUGUGGUUUCCCCUUUGGGGCUGGUUCACAGGUGGUGCAUGGUUGUCGUCAGCUCGUGUCGUGAGAUGUUGGGUUAAGUCCCGCAACGAGCGCAACCCUCGUUCUAUGUUGCCAGCACGUGAUGGUGGGGACUCAUAGGAGACUGCCGGGGUCAACUCGGAGGAAGGUGGGGACGACGUCAAAUCAUCAUGCCCCUUAUGUCUUGGGCUUCACGCAUGCUACAAUGGCCGGUACAAAGGGUUGCGAUACUGUGAGGUGGAGCUAAUCCCAAAAAGCCGGUCUCAGUUCGGAUUGGGGUCUGCAACUCGACCCCAUGAAGUCGGAGUCGCUAGUAAUCGCAGAUCAGCAACGCUGCGGUGAAUACGUUCCCGGGCCUUGUACACACCGCCCGUCAAGUCACGAAAGUUGGUAACACCCGAAGCCGG